rnacentral:snoRNA from 1 species
UGUCAAAAAUUCCCCAAUCCUGUUUCUGACGCCUCGUGUGAAAGCUGCGUGUGCAGUCUUACUGUUAUUUCGCGAGCCUGAGGCUU